GUUAAAUGACUAUCUGUAAGAAGCGUCAUGUACAAUAUGCCAUGCCACUGGUGCUACGUCGGUCUGCGUUUCCCUAGCCUUUACCUCAGCGUAACGUCUGUUGCCUAGCAACUGUGUUGGCGUGAAGCGCAGAGCUGUUAGCCGAACAAAUGGAGCCUGAAGGAGAGCCACUGAUGAGCAGUGAGUGGCUUAAUGCCACACAUCUUGGAGCAAUCCAGACUGAGGUGCUUAUAAGGAGCUGCAGGACAUGCAUUCAUCGCCUGAUGAUCCCAUGAGUGGUCCUGUAAGCUGUCUACAUUCUGGAAUCCAUCUCCAUCCCUUGAAGACCAUAACCCACCAGACAAACCAAGCCCUGGCAGUUCACUCUGCAAUUCUCACCAGUGCCAGACGCCCUGCUUGCUCCCCACGAACUCCCUUUCUCAGACAAGUUAUGCCCGCCAGCCCGCUCGCUCUCGAACGAUGCCCACGGACUUGCCGACUUGGACUCCCGGUGCAAACCUUCCCGGAAUAAGCCCCCGCAUCGAUGACCGUUCCCUACCUGGCUUCCUCUCUGACCAGCACCAGUUCCAGGUUCCAGCCCCAACCAUUAUCAGUUUCUGACUCGCCGCAGUGUAUUAAAUAAACAAGUUACAAACUA